AUUCAUCUUGGAGGCAUAGUCAAGUUCCUAGAUCUUCAUCAAUGGUACUUGGAUCAUUUGGAACAGACUUAAUGAGAGAGAGGAGAGAUUUGGAGAGAAGAACAGAUUCCUCUAUUAGUAAUCUUAUGGAUUAUAGUCACCGAAGUGGUGAUUUCACAACUUCAUCAUCCUCCUUUUAGAGGACUCAGAAGAAGAAGAAGGUGACUUAUGUAGAAUUUGUCAAAUGGCAGCUGCAUCAUCAUCUAAUUUGCUGAUAGAGCCAUGCAAGUGCACAGGAAGUUUGCAGUAUGUC
rnacentral:sRNA from 2 species